rnacentral:rRNA from 1 species
UACUGGGCGUAAGCGCACGCAGGCGGUCUGUCAAGUCGGAUGUGAAAUCCCCGGGCUCAACCUGGGAACUGCAUUCGAAACUGGCAGGCUAGAGUCUUGUAGAGGGGGGUAGAAUUCCAGGUGUAGCGGUGAAAUGCGUAGAGAUCUGGAGGAAUACCGGUGGCGAAGGCGGCCCCCUGGACAAAGACUGACGCUCAGGUGCGAAAGCGUGGGGAGCAAACAGGAUUAGAUACCCUGGUAGUCCACGCCGUAAACGAUGUCGACUUGGAGGUUGUGCCCUUGAGGCGUGGCUUCCGGAGCUAACGCGUUAAGUCGACCGCCUGGGGAGUACGGCCGCAAGGUUAAAACUCAAAUGAAUUGACGGGGGCCCGCACAAGCGGUGGAGCAUGUGGUUUAAUUCGAUGCAACGCGAAGAACCUUACCUACUCUUGACAUCCAGAGAACUUUGCAGAGAUGCAUUGGUGCCUUCGGGAACUCUGAGACAGGUGCUGCAUGGCUGUCGUCAGCUCGUGUUGUGAAAUGUUGGGUUAAGUCCCGCAACGAGCGCAACCCUUAUCCUUUGUUGCCAGCGGUCCGGCCGGGAACUCAAAGGAGACUGCCAGUGAUAAACUGGAGGAAGGUGGGGGAUGACGUCAAGUCAUCAUGGCCCUUACGAGUAGGGCUACACACGUGCUACAAUGGCGCAUACAAAGAGAAGCGACCUCGCGAGAGCAAAGCGGACCUCAUAAAGUGCGUCGUAGUCCGGGAUUGGAGUCUGCAACUCGACUCCAUGAAGUCGGAAUCGCUAGUAAUCGUAGAUCAGAAUGCUACGGUGAAUACGUUCCCGGGCGUUGUACACACCGCCCGUCACACCAUGAGAGUGGGUUGCAAAGAAGUAGGUAGCUUAACCUUCGGGAGGGCGCU